AUUGAACGCUGGCGGCAGGCCUAACACAUGCAAGUCGAACGGUAACAGGAAGAAGCUUGCUUCUUUGCUGACGAGUGGCGGACGGGUGAGUAAUGUCUGGGAAACUGCCUGAUGGAGGGGGAUAACUACUGGAAACGGUAGUUAAUACCGCAUAACGUCGCAAGACCAAAGAGGGGGACCUUCGGGCCUCUUGCCAUCGGAUGUGCCCAGAUGGGAUUAGCUAGUAGGUGGGGUAACGGCUCACCUAGGCGACGAUCCCUAGCUGGUCUGAGAGGAUGACCAGACACACUGGAACUGAGACACGGUCCAGACUCCGACGGGAGGCAGCAGUGGGGAAUAUUGCACAAGGGGCGCAAGCCUGAUGCAGCCAUGCCGCGUAUAUGAAGAAGGCCUUCGGGUUGUAAAGUACUUUCAGCGGGGAGGAAGGGAGUAAAGUUAAUACCUUUACUCAUUGACGUUACCCGCAGAAGAAGCACCGGCUAACUCCGUG
rnacentral:rRNA from 1 species